rnacentral:rRNA from 1 species
AUUGAACGCUGGCGGCAGGCCUAACACAUGCAAGUCGAACGGUAACAGGAAGAAGCUUGCUUCUUUGCUGACGAGUGGCGGACGGGUGAGUAAUGUCUGGGAAACUGCCUGAUGGAGGGGGAUAACUACUGGAAACGGUAGCUAAUACCGCAUAACGUCGCAAGACCAAAGAGGGGGACCUUCGGGCCUCUUGCCAUCGGAUGUGCCCAGAUGGGAUUAGCUAGUAGGUGGGGUAACGGCUCACCUAGGCGACGAUCCCUAGCUGGUCUGAGAGGAUGACCAGCCACACUGGAACUGAGACACGGUCCAGACUCCUACGGGAGGCAGCAGUGGGGAAUAUUGCACAAUGGGCGCAAGCCUGAUGCAGCCAUGCCGCGUGUAUGAAGAGGGCCUUCGGGUUGUAAAGUACUUUCAGCGGGGAGGAAGGGAGUAAAGUUAAGACCUUUGCUCAUUGACGUGACCCGCAGAAGAAGCACCGGCUAACUCCGU